GCAACAGUGGUUCAAUGGUAGAAUUCUAGUCUUCCAUGUGGGAGACCCAGGUUCAAUUCCCGGCCAGUGCA
rnacentral:tRNA from 1 species